rnacentral:ncRNA from 1 species
CAAACAGUGUUGAUUGGGAAAAGUACUUACAGACCCUGACAGUACAGAGAACCUGCUGCACGGUGAGAGGCAGGAUGUAAAGACUAUAAGGAAUAUCACCCAGGAGCUGCCAGCUGAACGCAUCGCAAGUAAGCGUGGCCGAUUGACAAUCGUUACCUUGUCCGGCAUUGAACGUCAGAGAAAUCUUUCGGUGAUGUCAGUAGAGUGGUCGUUCACGACAAUAAGAGUGGUACCGCAGAGCUAUAGCGCUUUGUCUCUUUC